ACGGGUGAGUAAUGUCUGGGGAUCUGCCCGAUAGAGGGGGAUAACCACUGGAAACGGUGGCUAAUACCGCAUAACGUCGCAAGACCAAAGAGGGGGACCUUCGGGCCUCUCACUAUCGGAUGAACCCAGAUGGGAUUAGCUAGUAGGCGGGGUAACGGCCCACCUAGGCGACGAUCCCUAGCUGGUCUGAGAGGAUGACCAGCCACACUGGAACUGAGACACGGUCCAGACUCCUACGGGAGGCAGCAGUGGGGAAUAUUGCACAAUGGGCGCAAGCCUGAUGCAGCCAUGCCGCGUGUAUGAAGAAGGCCUUCGGGUUGUAAAGUAUUUUCAGCGGGGAGGAAGGCGAUGUGGUUAAUAACCGCGUCGAUUGACGUUACCCGCAGAAGAAGCACCGGCUAACUCCGUGCCAGCAGCCGCGGUAAUACGGAGGGUGCAAGCGUUAAUCGGAAUUACCGGGCGUAAAGCGCACGCAGGCGGUCUGUUAAGUCAGAUGUGAAAUCCCCGGGCUUAACCUGGGAACUGCAUUUGAAACUGGCAGGCUUGAGUCUCGUAGAGGGGGGUAGAAUUCCAGGUGUAGC
rnacentral:rRNA from 1 species